rnacentral:lncRNA from 1 species
AACAAGUACUCUUUUGACUUGAGUUACGUUGAGAAGACAACCACAGAGACUCUAGUUUUGGGUGUUGGGCCUGUGAAGGCCCAAUUGGAGGGUGCUGAAAUGGGUGUUGCAUCUGAGAACGGUGGCUGCAACUGUGGAUCAAGCUGCACCUGUGACCCAUGCAACUGCAAGUAAGGUCAAGAUGUAUAACCUUGAAGCAGAGAUAGCUGUAAUAUAUGUAUCAACAAAUAAUAAGAAGUAGAAGUUGCGUUUGGAGCUUUAGAAUAAAGUGUUUGCUAUGUGUUUUGUUGGUCUUUUAUAAAUAUGUAAUUUGAAUCAUCAAUCUCUGCUUAUAAAUGAAUACUUUUGGUGUUAUAUGAAUAAAAAGUUUGUUGGGUUAUUUCAUUAAGUUGGGCAUAGCGGCAAUAAAGUUGCAUUUAAAUACAUUAUUACGGCUAAUUAAUAAUUAGAAUAAGAUUGAUGUUUGCUACGCAUUAUUACGGCUAAUAUAUAUAAAAUUCAAGAAGUUUCAACUGUAGCAAACAUCAAGUCAAUCUACCGUAAUGUUUCCAGAAUUGAUUGCUUCUGUAAAAAAAAAAAAGUUGAUUACUAAAAAAAGGAUUACUAUAAUAAAAAAUAAAAAAUAUAAAAAUUUGACCGAGCAAUAACGUUAUGAAAUAAAUAAAUUUAUCAUUAUUAAAAGUAGAAUAGAGCUUUCGAGCUUUUUUCCGCCUAAACUUACAGCAAAACAAAAAAAAAAAUUAUAGUCAUUAAAUAUGAUAUGCAAUUACAUCAUAUAUUUUUUAUAAUUGUAAUUAUAAUAAUGAUUAGCAAUUAUUAAAAAUUAGAAUAAUGAUAAUGGUUAAUAACUAUUAUAAUACUGCUAUAUAUAAUCUCUUUUUGGACGUUAUCCUCAAGACAUAUUUCGUUGAACACCUUGUGUGUUAAUUGAAAAAUCAAUUUAGUUAAAUUCACCUGUCAAUGGUGUAAGUAUGAUCAUGCUGCUUAUACAGGGUUGCUGUAACCAUUGCCUAUGCCGGAUCAUGUGUGACAGCACAUAUCAAUGGACUUUAUAGAGGGUCUACUCCUUUCGAAUGGCAAACAAGCUAUCUUUGUGGUGCUGGAUCGUUUGAGUAAAGCUGCACAUUUUAUACCCUUAUCACAUCCAUAUACUACCAGCACAAUAGCUCAAGCUUUUAUGGAUCAUGUUUUCAAGCUAUAUGGUUUUCCAUCCUCUAUAACAAGUGACAGGGAUUCAAUCUUCCUCAACAAAUUCUGGCAGGAAUUAAUGGCAUUCUAGGGUGUGCAAUUGCAACUAUCUAGUGCCUAUCACCCUCAGACGGAUGGACAAACUGAGGUAGUCAAUAGGUUUUUAGAAACCUAUUUGAGGUGUAUGUUUGUUGAUUCUCCUCAACAAUGGUCUAAGUGGUUACCUUUGGCAGAAUGGUGGUACAAUACCACUUUCCACUCAGCUAUUCAGACUACACCGUAUGAGGUAGUAUAUGGUCAGCCCCCUCCUAUUCAUCUACACUAUUUGCCUGGUGAAUCAAAGGUGCAAUUGGUGGAUCGCAGUUAGGCAAAAAGAAAGGAGAUGUUGAAGGUUUUAAAAUUUCAUCUCCAAAGAGCACAAAAUAGGAUGAAACAGGUGGCUGAUAAGCAUAGGUUUGACAAGCAAUUUUUUGUUGGAGACUUGGUUUAUGUAAAAUUGCAGGCCUAUAGGCAAGUGUCCAUUGCUCCAAGAGCUAAUGAGAAGCUAGCACCUAAAUACUUUGGGCCAUAUCCCGUGAUUAGUAGAAUUGGAGAGGUUGCCUAUGAAUUGAAGCUGCCUGAUCAUGCAAAAAUUCACAAUGUCUUUCAUGUUUCACAACUUAAGAAGCAUAUUGGUCAAUUCAUUCAUUCUCCAACACUACCUGAUUUUAUUCCUAAAGCUACAGGGCCUAAAGAACCAACAACAAUACUGGAUCCAAUGAUAUUGAAAAGAAAGGGACAAGCUGUCACAAAAGUUUUGGUUCAAUGGAAACAUCAACUUCCAGAGGAUUGGGAGUUCUAUUAUGACUUGAAGAGGAGGUUUCCACAGUUCGAUUCUUGAGGACAAGAAUUUUGUAAAGGGAGGGCUAUGUUAGGGAAAUGCAGUUACUCAUGUUAUUACUAAUAUAGCCUUGAUAGUUGUAAUUGAAAUCUAGAAUUGGUUGUUAGUUAGUUAGUUACUUGUUAUAAAUGGAGAUUUGUUGGUCAAGUUAGGCAGCUAUUGUAAAAAACUAUACUUUUGAAUCCUCCUCAUUGUAAUUGAUUCUAUAAUCAAUAAUAUUCAGUUUGGAUUUCUUUCUUCCCAUAGGAAUUCCUGGACAAAUUUCAGUCUAAUUCUUUGAAUCAUUGCAUAAAUUCCUAGGAUUUACUCUAUUUCCUAAACACCCAUAACAAUAAAUCAUCUUAGUUUCAAAAUAUAUAAAACAAAACUAUGAGUGUAUGUUUAAUUUGAAUUACCGAGAUAAACAUUUCACAUUCAUUCAUCAAAAUAAGAGAUACAAUCACACCCCUCGAUUGAAAAGAAUUCAAGCAUAGUUCGAAUUAAAAAAAGCUAUCAAUCGAUUACUAUGAAUGGAUUAAUCAAUCCUACCCCUAAUCCCAAAUCAAUUUCCCAUAUCUCAACAUAAUCACGCAUCAACUAAGAAAAUACAAAAAAUAGAAAAAGGGAGAAAGACACAAUUCAUAAAUAUGAAAGUUAAAGCAUGGAGGAACUCAAAUUUACGAUAGGCUUGAGACCUUGGAUUGAAAGGACAUUAGCUCUCCGUGAAAAUCUUCUUUGGAUGGUUUGAUUAAGCAAAAUAAGAAAAGAGAAGAAAGGGGAAAAAGAAAGAGAAGAGAGCACACAAACUUAUGAAAUUAAAAUGAGUGUAAU